rnacentral:snRNA from 1 species
UUUCAGGGAUCAUUUCUAUAGUUUGUUACAGUUUCUUGAAUG